AUGGCCUACGGAACGCAGCAGUAGGGAAUCUUCCACAAUGGACGAAAGUCUGAUGGAGCAACGCCGCGUGAGUGAAGAAGGGUUUCGGCUCGUAAAGCUCUGUUGGUAGUGAAGAAAGAUAGAGGUAGUAACUGGCCUUUAUUUGACGGUAAUUACUUAGAAAGUCACGGCUAACUACGUGCCAGCAGCCGCGGUAAUACGUAGGUGGCAAGCGUUGUCCGGAUUUAUUGGGCGUAAAGCGAGUGCAGGCGGGUCAAUAAGUCUGAUGUGGAAACCUUCGGGUCAACCGGGGAAAU
rnacentral:rRNA from 1 species